rnacentral:rRNA from 1 species
UAGGGANUCUUCCGCAAUGGGCGAAAGCCUGACGGAGCAACGCCGCGUGAGUGAAGAAGGAUUUCGGUUCGUAAAGCUCUGUUGUUAGGGAAGAAUGGAUAUGUAGUAACUAUACAUAUAAGAGACGGUACCUAACCAGAAAGCCACGGCUAACUACGUGCCAGCAGCCGCGGUAAUACGUAGGUGGCAAGCGUUGUCCGGAAUUAUUGGGCGUAAAGCGCGCGCAGGUGGUUUAAUAAGUCUGAUGUGAAAGCCCACGGCUCAACCGUGGAGGGUCAUUGGAAACUGUUAAACUUGAGUGCAGGAGAGAAAAGUGGAAUUCCUAGUGUAGCGGUGAAAUGCGUAGAGAUUAGGAGGAACACCAGUGGCGAAGGCGGCUUUUUGGCCUGUAACUGACACUGAGGCGCGAAAGCGUGGGGAGCAAACAGGAUUAGAUACCCUGGUAGUCCACGCCGUAAACGAUGAGUGCUAAGUGUUGGUCUCAUAAGAGAUCAGUGCUGCAGCUAACGCAUUAAGCACUCCGCCUGGGGAGUACGACCGCAAGGUUG